rnacentral:tRNA from 1 species
UGCAGGUUCAAGUCCUGUUUUUCUAA